rnacentral:rRNA from 1 species
UACGUAGGUGGCAAGCGUUGUCCGGAUUUAUUGGGUUUAAAGGGUGCGUAGGUGGCUGUCUAAGUCAGUGGUGAAAUAUCUCAGCUUAACUGAGAGGGUGCCAUUGAUACUGGAUAGCUUGAGUACAGAUGAGGUAGGCGGAAUUGACGGUGUAGCGGUGAAAUGCAUAGAUAUCGUCAAGAACACCGAUAGCGAAGGCAGCUUACCAAGCUGUAACUGACACUGAGGCACGAAAGUGUGGGGAUCAAACAGGAUUAGAAACCCCCGUAG